GUCACCUGGGAUCUUGUUAAAAUGCAGACUCCGAUUCAGUAGGUCUGGUGGCGCCUGAGAUUCUGCAUUUCUAACAAGCUUCCAGGUGCUGCAGC
rnacentral:pre_miRNA from 1 species